rnacentral:lncRNA from 1 species
CCGAUUCAUGGCUACAGGUCUUUCCUGUGCUGUUUUUGUGCUAGUGAAUACGUCUCAGGGCAUCUGGUGGCUUUAAAAACAUGAAUUUGCCUGCGCAAGCUCUCGCUUUCCCUGCUGCCACCCACCUAAGAUGUGUUUUCUCCUCAUUGCCUUCCUCCGUGACUGUGAAGCUUCCACAGCCACAUGGAACUGGUCUAUGAGAUGCCAAGUUGUUUUCAUAAACAUCAGCCAAGAGAAGAUUGACCGAUUUGGAUACAGAGGCAGAAAUAAAGAUCAGGCAAACACUGAAAAUAUUUACAGAAUGAAUUCAACUGAUGGGACCACCCUGGUAAGGAAUGGAACAGUUAAAGAGAUACAGACCCAUGUAUCCUCAAAUAUAUAAAGAAGCCUUACCCCAAACUGUGUAGUGAAUGGAGAGGAUCAUCAGAGGAAGAUACAUGAGCUAACUGUAGUCAGCGUGAGUGAGAAUCAGACAGAGAGAGAGGAGAAAAGGGGACGAGAAGAUAUGGGAUCAUACAGAAACUAUAACUGUAAACACAUUACAACAGUAGACAUUUGGUAAUAGUAGAC